rnacentral:rRNA from 1 species
UACGUAGGGGGCAAGCGUUGUCCGGAAUCAUUGGGCGUAAAGCGCGUGUAGGCGGCCCGGUAAGUCCGCUGUGAAAGUCGGGGGCUCAACCCUCGGAUGCCGGUGGAUACUGUCGGGCUAGAGUGCGGGAGAGGCGAGUGGAAUUCCUGGUGUAGCGGUGAAAUGCGCAGAUAUCAGGAGGAACACCAAUUGCGAAGGCAGCUCGCUGGAACGUUACUGACGCCGAGACGCGAAAGCGUGGGGAUCAAACAGG